rnacentral:rRNA from 1 species
UACGAAGGGGGCUAGCGUUGCUCGGAAUCACUGGGCGUAAAGCGCACGUAGGCGGCUUACUAAGUCAGGGGUGAAAUCCUGGAGCUCAACUCCAGAACUGCCUUUGAUACUGGUGAGCUUGAGUCCGGAAGAGGUGAGUGGAACUGCGAGUGUAGAGGUGAAAUUCGUAGAUACUUGCAAGAACACCAGUGGCGAAGGCGGCUCACUGGUCCCGGUACUGACGCUGAGGUGGCGAAAGCGUGGGGAGCAACAGGAUUAGAACCC